rnacentral:snoRNA from 1 species
GCUGGCCAUGACGACACUCUUGCCCUCGCUGAGAACAGCGUUUGCUGACGAGAGCAGUUUUUCUGCGCUCGUGGAGCUGAGCCAGA